rnacentral:lncRNA from 1 species
CUCAAGCACAUUCCAGUUAUAAUAUUAGAAUUACUAGAAUGGUGUUUCUAAAUAGUCCUAAGAGGUGUGUGUGUGUGUGUGUGUGUGUGUGUGUGUGUGUGUGUGUAUCUAUUUUGAAAUUCUAAAGCAUUGUAAGAAAUCUUAUUAUGAAUUAUAUUAUAAAGGGAAGUGUCACUGCAAAAUCAAUGUAUACUAUGUAUUUUAACAUAUUGUCUAAUAUUUAUCUUCAUGGAAUUUUUACCUACCUUGAGGUUCUCUGACUCUUGAACAUAGAAAUAGACAGGAGGCCAAGGAUGAUAUGGAUAGUGUUUAUUGUAAGCUCCUGUCCCGGCAUGAAGGAGGCAGCAAGAGAGGUAACAUGCUGCUCCCUACAGAAAGUUUUUGAAAGCUGAGGCAAGAAAGGAGGGAUAUCUGAGCAUGCAGGGGUGGAGAAAUACUAGAAGUUGGGCACACAUGUGCAGUUGACAGAACAUGUUUCUUUACACACUGUUUCAUUUGCAUAUUAAGUUUCCAGCUGGGACAUGAUUUUUAGCAUUAUAAUGAGGAGGAAGUGGUGAAAGUUCGGGGAUGGGGUCCAUGGUUGUUCUAAUUGGUCUGGUCUGGUCUUUGCAGGAACAACCACUUAUAAUUUGGGCCCUGCACUCUGUUUCAUGCUUGUUGUGGCUUUUGACUUCUUGAUUAUAUGCAGCACCUUCAAGUUCUGGGAAUGGUCCCUUGAAGAUGGAAGAAACUACCCUGGAAGUAAGAAUAUUCCUAUCUACUGUCUUAUUACAUCAUCUCUUAACACCUAAACUACUUCUUGCUGUCUAUGCUUUUGAAUAGUGAUUGAAAUGCUUACUAGAAGUUAAUCUGGUAUAUGGGGAGAGAAUGUGUCUGCUAAAAUUUAUAAUUGAAAAAAAUUAAGUCCUAUAUUAAGAUCUCGAUAUCAGACAACCAAGGUCAUAAUCAUAACAAUGCUGGCUAUACUUACUGAGGCCUGCACUAAUCUGAAUGCAGAUAAAAUGAACUAUAUGCCUUCUUAAGGUUCUGAAAUUUAGUUAUUCUCUGUACCUUCUGA